rnacentral:rRNA from 1 species
AUUGAACGCUGGCGGCAUGCCUUACACAUGCAAGUCGAACGGCAGCACGGGUGCUUGCACCUGGUGGCGAGUGGCGAACGGGUGAGUAAUACAUCGGAACAUGUCCUGUAGUUGGGGAUAGCCCGGCGAAAGCCGGAUUAAUACCUCAUACGAUCUACGGAUGACAGCGUGGGACCUUCGAGCCUCGCGCUAUAGGGUUGGCCGAUGGCUGAUUAUCUAGUUGGUGGGGUAAAGGCCUACCAAGGCGACUAUCAGUAGCUGGUCUGAGAGGACGACCAGCCACACUGGGACUGAGACACGGCCCAGACUCCUACGGGAGGCAGCAGUGGGGAAUUGUGGACAAUGGGCGAAAGCCUGAUCCAGCAAUGCCGCGUGCGUGAAGAAGGCCUUCGGGUUGUAAAGCACUUUUGUCCGGAAAGAAAUCCUUGGCCCUAAUACGGUCGGGGGAUGACGGUACCGGAAGAAUAAGCACCGGCUAACUACGUG